CUUUGUUAGUCAAGAUAUAUUAUAUCCACAGAAUUUCCACUAUUAAAGAACUUACUUAAAAAUGAAAUAAAAUUAGUUUGACAGUCUUGUUCUUGACAAACUUAUCACUGAAUUGUUUCUGAGUGCUUACAGAUCAAUCCAUUUUAUGAUAUAAAGCAGGGAUAUCAAACUUGAUUUCAUUGAGGGCCGCAUCAAGGUUGUGUUUGACCUCAGGGGGCCAGGAUGGGUGUGGCCAACUCAACGUCACUUGUGUUAGGGGCACCUGUGGUGGCCCAAGCACUUAAAUGUGCUCCAGAGCUCCAUUUUUGGUUGCAAUGUCCUCCUGAAACCUUAUGCUAGCAAAAAUGGACAUGAGAAGGCUCAAUUUUUGCUGGCAGAGGCACCACGGGCUAGUCCCUCACUGUUUUCAGGGUAGCUCCAUGGGCCAGAUUUAAGCGCCUGGCUGGCCAGAUCUGGCUCCUGGGACUUGAGUUUGACACUUUUGAUAUAGGGUAUCAAUUGUCUCAGUUAUCAAGAUUGACUGAUAUCUCUAAUUGUCUUCUAGAAAUAGGAAUAACAUUUGCCCUCCUCAAAUGUUACUUCACCUGUCAUCCAGUCCUUGUGAUAAUUAUUUAAUACUUCAUUCUUUGAAAUGUAUACGCAAUAUACAGAUGUAAUCUCAUCUUUCUAAAAUCAACAUUUGCAGGAGACAGAUAAUUCUGCAAAGAUUGUCUUUCUUAUUUUUUAAACAGACACUGGAAAGUGAAUGAGGCAUGAUAGACCUGACUUCUAGAGAGAUUUCCUGUUGUGUUUUUUCCUGGCUUGCCAGCUUUUGAGCAGCACAUAUUAAAAACUGAACUUUAUGCAUAUCAGUCAUCAUUGGCCACCUUUCUGCACUGCAGGCUACCCAAUGCAUUGUUGUUUGUAAACAAAAAACCUCUCCAAGCAUCUGAAGGGAUGUCAUGCAGAAAAAGGCGGAGACUGAUUCUUGAUCAUCCAAGAAUAAUGGAUACAAGAUUACCAGUAGGUGGCUUCCAAUAUAAUGUUAGAAGAACUUCCAGAUAUAAAUAAUACAAUAGUUGGAUAGUAGAACAAGUGACUAAGAAAAAUGUUAAUAAAUGAAGCAUUGGGUAAAAAAAAAAUACUGUUUAUGAGAAAAGCUUAAAUUUGUAUUCCAGCAGAAAGCUGGGCUUGACAACCUCAAUGCCCCCUUCCAAUUCUGUGAUGCUGCUUGUAUAUCAAACCUGGAAGGCAGGGAGGUACUUACAAUAUUCUUUGGACAUGAAUUAUAAUCCAUCAUAAUUCAUGUUAAAAUGCAUAGUUGUGUACAAAACUUUUGAACCUUUUGAAAAAUUUCAUCUGGCACAAACAGACCUGUACUUACUCUGAGCAGAAGCUGUAUUUUG
rnacentral:lncRNA from 1 species